UACAGAGGUCUCAAGCGUUGUUCGGAUUCAUUGGGCGUAAAGGGCGCGUAGGCUGCGGGGCAAGUCGGGUGUGAAAUCUCAGAGCUCAACUCUGAAACUGCACUCGAUACUGCUUUGCUUGAGGACUGGAGAGGAGAUUGGAAUUCACGGUGUAGCAGUGAAAUGCGUAGAUAUCGUGAGGAAGACCAGUGGCGAAGGCGGAUCUCUGGACAGUUCCUGACGCUGAGGCGC
rnacentral:rRNA from 1 species